rnacentral:rRNA from 2 species
ACUGCUCAGUAACACGUGGAUAACCUGCCCUGCGGUGGGAAAUAACCCCGGGAAACUGGGGAUAAUGUCCCAUAGGCUACGGAUGCUGGAAUGCUCUGUAGCUCAAAGAUUUAUCGCCACAGGAUGGGUCUGCGGCCGAUUAGGUAGUUGUUGGGGUAACGGCCCAACAAGCCUUUGAUCGGUACGGGUUGUGGGAGCAAGAGCCCGGAGAUGGAUUCUGAGACACGAAUCCAGGCCCUACGGGGCGCAGCAGGCGCGAAAACUUUACAAUGCGGGAAACCGUGAUAAGGGAACUCCGAGUGUCCGUAAAUGCGGACUGUCCGUAUGUUUAAAAAGCAUGCGAAGAAAGGGCCGGGCAAGACCGGUGCCAGCCGCCGCGGUAAUACCGGCGGCUCGAGUGGUGGCCACUAUUACUGGGCUUAAAGCGUUCGUAGCUGGGUUGUUAAGUCUCUUGGGAAAUCUACCGGCUUAACCGAUAGGCGUCCAAGGGAUACUGGCAAUCUAGGGACCGGGAGAGGUGAGGGGUACUUCAGGGGUAGGAGUGAAAUCCUGUAAUCCUUGGGGGACCACCUGUGGCGUAGGCGCCUCACCAGAACGGCUCCGACAGUGAGGGACGAAAGCUGGGGGAGCAAACCGGAUUAGAUACCCGGGUAGUCCCAGCCGUAAACGAUGCGCGUUAGGUGUAUCGAUGACCACGAGUCAUCGAGGUGCCGAAGGGAAACCGUGAAACGCGCCGCCUGGGAAGUACGGUCGCAAGGCUGAAACUUAAAGGAAUUGGCGGGGGAGCAC